UCUACUUUUGCAGGGCUACAGGACCGUGGGAAAGGUCCUCCACGUAAGAUGCUUUAUUCUUUGUGUCUGUUGUUCUUAUGUAAUUGAUCUCACUCAAUGUCCAGGGUGGAAUGCUUCAAAGCCUUUGCUGCACCAUUCCAUCAAGUGAAAAUGUUCUACAUGCCCCCUGCAUCAGUUAAAUUCAAAUCUUUGAAAACUUUGGGAUCUCUCCUAGAAUUAAAAAAUAAAGUUAUGUGGGAUUGAACAAUGCCAGAUGAAUGCAGUUUUCUAUCUUGAGAAUAAGUCCCCAUGUAGCCGUAUGUACUGUACUGAUGGAAUAAGGGAAGGGGCAUGCAUAACUACAUACAUAACUUUUGUUAAGGUUACAGAAAUAUUAAUGGACUGGAACCUGAGGGAAUGUUACAGGGAUGUAUGUUACAUGUUUGCUGGGUAUGUGCCGGAGCCUUCCUUCAUGGACAUGUCAGAAACAAUUCAUCGUUCAGGUUUAACUUUGUUAUGCUCAUUGUUAUUGUUAAUGUAAACAGAGAGACACCACUCACAGAUUAACUGCAUUCAUGUGUACUCUGAAUGAUAGCAAGGUUUGUGGACAAGGUUUCAAACAAAAAACAAAAGGACAAAAAAAUGAAAUGUUUGGCUUCACAUUUAAAUAUUUGGGCUACUUUUAACCUGGAGAGUUUGAGAACAUUUCACAUUUUAAAAUGCUAAUUUUCACAUAUGCAAAAUGAUACAUUUCAAAAUCACUGUUCUUUGUCCACAUAAUUUUUUUCCAUGAGGGAGCCAUUGUUUUCAAAUGUUACAAUCCAAGUUAUUUGUUGUUUAGAUGGCAGAGUUAAUGCAUAAAUAACUUUUAUUUAAAUGUUCAAGUCAAAAGGUUGGAAAAUUACAAAAAAUAUCUCCUUGAUUAGUAGCCUAACAGUAGGGUUAUUAUGGCAGCAGCUUGUUUUCAUUCUUAUUUCAGUGUUGAGGCGAUAGCCUAUUUCCCUGACUUUAACCAAGCACUUCGUAUUUCAGAGGUGAACACUGAAUGGCUGUUCCGUAUCCAACAGCAGCAGAGUCCACUGAAACGUGUGAAAAUGUGAAUUUAAUUCAUAAAUGCGGCCUACCGCUUCUGGCCCGCAGCCAAGAUUCCGUCUCUAACUCUGUUUUCUCUGGCUCCCAUCCAGCUCCCCCCACCCUCCCGCCGUUGUUAUCCACCCACGGGAGAGGUGAUUUCUUUCUUUUUGUUCUUCUUUUUUAAACCUAUAUUCAUUCAGUGGUUCCUCGAUUUGGAGUGGGCUGUAGAUGCGGGAUUAUGACCACGCUUUUCAGACAAACCGUGCCGAGCUGUCACGCAUCGCUGCUGUAUGGUCCUUCCCGGUGCCGCCGUGUGUUGUAGCCGAGUUUGAGUUGGAGCUGAUCGGCGUCAGACUCCGCUGUCCCCUGUGUUCUCUUCUUAAGCUCAAUGAGUCAAACUUCCAGCUGCUCCCUGGCUUGUCUUAUCAGCUUCAAAGCGGCCAGUGCUGCUGCUUGUGGAAGACUUUCAAGUGGACAACAGACCUGUUAAAGUGCCAUUGAAACUAUCCUCAUCGACUCCCUCUGUUCAUUUUUUUUCUUAAGUCCUUUCUGUUUACCGGUAGAACGGAAGCACUUUAGCACCGGGAACCAUGAGCGGACGCGGGGACGAGGCCGAGGAAUGCUCUGGCUCCCAGGAGCCCAUGGGGGCCGCGGAACCCCAGAAAAGAAGGCCAGGGAGACCGAGGAAGCCCCUAAAAGAGCCCAGUGGAGAGCCUGUUCCCAAGCGACCUAGGGGUCGCCCCAAAGGAAGUAAGAACAAGGGGCCCUCAAAGGCAGCUCAGAAGAAAGCCGGGGCAACCGGGGUGAAAAGACCCAGGGGACGACCCAGGAAAUGGGUGAGUCUGUGGUUCUCUUAAGGUCAAAGCUUGUGUCUGCUGCUAGCAUACUGGAUACCGGAUACUGGAAGACACAUUGUACACAACACAAGAUGGGCUGUGAAUAACGAGUUGUGCCAGUUGAUGAAAUCUAUUUGUGAUAGGAGACACGUGAGCAAGAGAUUUUAUUACUACACAUCUAGUAUAUUGGUAUAUACAUAGAUAUAUUACCUGAUUUUAAUGCACAUUGAGAUGGACUGUUUCACUUCCUGAACUUUUUGUGGUAAUUUCUCAUCAGUAACUUUCAUUAUGUGGCCUGAAUACUUUUAGAGGUUCCUCUCUGGUUGUUGCUAAUGUGUGUGUACAGGGAGAUCUCCAAAAUAUUUCUUCUAUCAAAGAAAAUAUUUACUGCAUCCAUGCUGACUAAAGCCGAUAUUUUCCGCCACUACCCUCGGGCUGGGCCGGGCCCUUGAUCAAGCAUUUGUGUUUUUUUUUGGUUUUUUUUAUCAUUACGUUAUUAGCCUAAUCGGGUGGGGAGAAAGCUAUGGCAUAAUCAGAAAUAUUAUAUAUAUUUUUUAGCAAAGUAGGCCUAAGUAACAAACGUGCACUCCUGGAUGGAGUGGUGUGUUCCAAGAAUUUUAUUUCUAGAGCGCCAAUUCAUAAUAGAAGUUAUUUAGACCCAAGAGAGACAGAGACAAAUAGUACUACACUAGGGUGGCUGUGGCUGUGGCUCAGAGGCAGAGCAGGUCGUUCCUCAAUCGGAAGGUUGUGGAUUCGAUCCCCGGCUACUGGUGCCACAUGUCGAAGUAUCCUUGAGCAAGAUACUCAACCCUGAAUUGCUCCCGAUGCCGUGCAUCGGUGUGUGAGUGUGUAUGAAUGUUAGUUUCUGUUCGAUGGACUUUGCCAUCACUGAGUGAAUGUGUGUGAAAGGGUGAAUGUGGCACGUAGUGUAAAAGCGCUUUGAGUGGUCGGAAGACUAGAAAGGCGCUAUACAAGUACAGGUCCAUUUACCAUUUAAUAGUAGUGACUGAUGAUGAUGAACAUGAAGAAGAUGAUGACAACAACGACAACAACGGACAAUGAGCAGUGAUUAUAGUGAUAAUAGUAUGUGUAGUAAUAGUAAUAAUAAUAAUAAUUAAAGCUGCAAGCAGCAUUGGGCGGGACCUCACACUGCGGCAGCGUCACGUGCCGUCAUAACACGUGUGGACCACAACAUGAAAUUUUCACGUCACCCCACUCCCAAGCCCUCAUUGCCAGAAGCUGAGGGAGACCACUCUACGCACAGUAAAUAUUUGAUUAACUUAUGAUCACCAAUGUGUCUAGAUUGCAGUGAUUGAAUUUGAAGUCAAUCCGAUAAAAUCUGUAGGAGGAUUUAGUUCAAAUUGAAGCCCUGAAAUGCCAGAAAUGGCAUCACAAUUUGACAUUCGUUUCAAAAUGGCCAACUUUGACAGCACGCCACCGACACUCCCUUCAACGUACAGUCGAAAAUACCACGGCCUUCAUUCAGCACAUUUUUUUGACUGUACUGACCAAUUUUGAAGCAGAUCCGAUAAAUUCCCUAGGAGGAGUUCGUUCAAAUACAUACACAUGCUUUGUUGAAAUACUGUAGGGGGCGCUACAAGCACGAUUUUUGGUAUGUGAGCUACAGGCAUCAGUCUACAUGCAUCCUGUGAAUUUCAUAUUCAUAACUAUUACGGUCUCCGCAGAGUGAUUUACCCUGCCACCAGAGCGCCACCCAGUGGCGUGGCUUAUUUUUUCCUUUUUAAGUGAGCCUCAGGGAGGUAUGGGCAAUCAUCGUACCAAGUUUCAUUUUAAUCACCCUUGCCAAUGUGGAGAUACAAACUUCUGCAUUUUAAAGAGCCACAAGGUGUUGUGGCGAUGGCCUGAAAUUGUGCACGAUGCCUAAUGAACACAUAAGGAACUAUUGACCCAAGGUUGGUGUCAAUCGGACAUACCAAUGUGGAGAAAUGCCCCACUUCCUUUUUUGACGAAAAAUCAACAGGAAGUGCUAAUUUUAUAACAUGCUUAUUUUUUGAAAUAUCAAAAGUUUUCACCAGGCCUGACAACUUUGCCAAAUAAAAUUCACGCGGAGUAUAUGUUCAGGGGGUCAAAAAUGCCAUCAACGUUCUUAAUAAUAAUAAUAAUAAUAAUAAUAAUAAUAAUAAUAAUAAUAAUAAACGGAGCAAAAACAAUAGAGACCUCACAGUGUUUGACACUGGCUGUGUCCCUAAUAAUAUCAGUGAUAUUAGCAAUGGGAGUCAAGCAGGACCAUGGUAAAUGGACCUGUACUUGUAUAGCGCCUUUCUAGUCUUCUGACCACUCAAAGCGCUUUUACACUACGUGCCACAUUCACCCUUUCACACAGUGAUGGCAAAGUCCAUUGAACAGAAACUAACGUUCAUACACAUUCACACAACAAUUUUGGGUUCCGUAUCUUGCUCAAGGAUACUUCGACAUGUGGCACCAGGGGCUGGGGAUCGAACCCACAACCUUCCGUUUUGGAAUGACCCACUCUGCCUCUGAGCCACAGCCGCCCUGCUCAGUGGCAGGAGGCACCACCAGGAUCGAUGAGAACCUGCGAGACGAGAAAGCACAAGAACCCUGGGGAAGAAGUGAAGUUAGUAACAUGCAUUAAUGGGACAUGAAUGUGUGCAGAAAGAGAGAGAGAGGAAGAGAGGAGCUCAGUGCAUCAUGGGAAAUCCCCUAGUAGUCUAAGCCUAGAGCAGCAUAACUAAGGGAUGGUUCAGAGGGGUAUUGCACAAAAGUAGGAUAAAGAAAUCCAGGAUAAUUGAGCAAGCGCGGCUUGACUUAGCCUGCUCAGCGCAUCCUGGCUUAAUUGGUUGCACGUUUGCCGAGCUAGGAUGAAAAGGUGCGGCUAUGUUAAGCCAGGUGUAGAUAGUCGGGAUAAGUGCGUGUUCACGGCAUACUGAAAUAGACCUCGCGAUCAGUCACAGAAUCACCGAUGGGAACAUGGAUAAAACACCCGCUUCGUAUUUCACGGCCGCUGAACAACAGCUCCUGAUGGAGUUCUAUGAAGAGGUGAAAGAUAGAAGAAAAAAAGGCAAUACCAAUGCCAUAAUUAAAGAAAGAGAGAAAGCCUGGCAGACAACAGCAGACCGGCUUAAUGCUUAAGUAGUCCAAAACUGUACAAUGAAUAAACAGUGCUCCACUGGAACUGUCAUAAUUAGGCUCCAAUUAAAGGACUAAAGGAGUUACUUUAAGUCCACUAAUCAACUGUUGUACACUUUGCUUUAAAUGUGGCAAGUAGAGGUGCAUGUUACUUAAAUGUAGAGUAUGAUUAAGUGCAAACAAUUAUCCACAAUGUGUGUCAUUUAAUCUAUUUUUAUCUAUUUUAUCUUUCUAUCCUUCAUAAAGAACAAACUUGUCUGGCCAUAAAAGGACCUGGCAGCAAGUUAAAGUUAAAUACAAGAACAUUUUGCAGGCUGGUAAGUGACUUUAAAGUAGAUAACAGUGAACAAAUGAGGUGAAUAGAUUAGGUGUCUGCUGACAUGUUGAAUGUCUGUAUGAUUGUAGCGGUUAAAAAAAAAGCCCAUAGAACUGGCACAGGGGGCGGCCCACCAAGCCAGGAUAUGUGCUGCAAAUGGUUCCUUUAUUGAGGUUCUCUGCAUCCCCAACAGAAUAAAGGAAGCUCCCACUUGCAAAACAUCUCAAUGUAACACAGACCAUCUGUGGUACAGUGAGAGCAUGGCUUCCUGCCGUCUGGUGCUGUAUUUUUGGACCCAGCAGCCUACAUAAAUAUCUUAGUCCAUCACCUGAGAAUCUGUAUCUCUCAAUGAGAUAGUCAUCUCCAACAGCCAAUGGGUCUGACCUGUCCCAGAAGACUCUUUCAUGACUAAAUGCUCGUCUGAGGAUUAGGGCUUCCUCAUCCAGUACAUCCUCCAAGAAAGGGCAAGCCAUUAUGAAGAGGGAACAGGUGUGAAUAAUAUAUAUAUAUAUAUAUAUAUAUAUAUAUAUAUAUAUAUAUAUUAUGACAUGCCGUUUAGGAAAUAAAUCUUUGUAUAUAUGGAAUGAAGCUUGGCUAUAAAAAUGAUAAAAAUGUGAGAAUACUGAAUGAAAUUCAAAACCUAGUUGUAUCCUUUUCAUCAAAGUGAUAGCCUUCUGAAUUAGCUGGUUUUACAAAAUGGCAUCAGUUGAAAUAUUACAAUACUUUCUUGAACUGGAAAACUUUUUUGCUUUUUCUGUCAGGAUUUUGACUGAGGCCUGUUGUGGUCGGCCUGCCACCACUAAAAAGGGAGUGAACUUCUUCGUCAGGAGAACGGUAUUGGGCACGGGUACUAUCGGGAGGAUUUUGGCCCCUACAAGCACUUGCCAAUGAGUUAAUAAUGUCCUCAUUGCUCAGUAUUGCUGCCACAAAGUUCCUGACUGACUCAUUCUCACUUCUACAAGAUGGCAGCAGUGCCUUGAUGACCAGUCAAGUUUCAUUCUAUAUAUUCAAAGAUUAAUUUUAUAUAUUCAAAGAUUAAUUUCCUAAACAGCAUGCCAUAAUAUAUGUACUAUAUUGCCCUUGUCACAGAUUUAAUUGAAAACACCUUUGCAACUUCAUCAGCUGUGUUUUGUAAUCUCAAUUACUGCAAUAAAACACAUAUUUAUGCAAUUUGACAAGCAGUCUUCAUUAGCAUAGCAAUAUAACACUUGUCCUGAGUAAUAAUACUACCACUUGAAUCAAUAUAAAAAGACUGUUGCAAUUACAAACAGCCAACAGAUUUAAAUGAAAUAAGAAAUUACAAUAUAUAUGUAAUAUUUUAAUGCAGGAUAAUUAAAAUGAUGCAACAUACUUAGAAAGACCAUGGACAUGCUGUAAAACACAUUAAUUCCUCACAGGAUUGAUGAUGGAAAUACAGGUGAAUCACUAGGAUUAAUCUUAGCCUGGCUGUUAGCCUGGUCUGGAGCAGGCUAGCUGCAGAGAAUAAAUCACCACAGUAACUUGGCCGGGAUAAGUUUAACCUGCUUUCAUGCAACCGACUUGAGGCUAAAUUCAGCCAGGAUAACCAACAUAUCCCGGCUUAAUCCCUUAUCCUGGUUUUGUGCAAUACCCUUCAGGACUCUCCUGAGCCAGCCCUAUCUAUAAGCUUUAUCAAAGAGGAACGUUUAAGCCUACUUAAAUGUGGAGAGGGUGUCUCUCUCCCGAAUCACAACUGGAAACUGGUUCCACAAGAAAGGAGCUUGGUAGCUAAAGGCUCUGGCUCCUGUUCUACUUUUUGAAACUACAGCAACUACAAAUAGCCCUGCAUUCAGAGAGCGCAGUGUUCUACAGGGGUAAUAGGAUACUUUGAGCUCUUUAAGAUAUGAAGGGGCCUGACCAUGAAGAGCUUUGUAGGUAGGGAGGAGAAUUUUAAAUUCUAUUCUAAAUUUUACUGGGAGCCAGUGCAGAGAAGCUAAUACAGGAGAGAUAUGAUCUCUUUUCCUAGUUCCUGUCAGUACUCGUGCUGCAGCAUUUUGAAUUAAUUGGAGUGUCUUAAUGGACUUAUUGGGGCAACCUGAUAGUAAGGAAUGGCAUUAAUCCAGCCUAGAAGUAACAAAUGCAUGGAUUAGUUUUUCUGAAAAAAGGCAGUCGUGGAGGUCUGCUUUAUGUUGAACUGUUAGCAUAUUUAGUGUAUUCUUCACUGUCUUCAUUGGUACAAGCUCUUGCUGGGACUUUAAAGUCAACAGCAAGUACUCGAGCAAGCAAAUUAAGUGCUAAAUUCUGCAUAUGCACUAAAUUCUUAGCCAUCAUAGCCUCCUUCAACAAUAGGCCACACACAGCUCCCAGGAUGACACUGCAGCCUCUGUCAAGAAUUUGAAGUUACUCAGUAACAAACUCAGUAUAGCCUUACCAAACGUAAAGGAAAAUUCUAUAUGAAUCUAUUUAAAUCUCUAUUAUAUUAUAAGGAGAUGGAAAUUAUAUUUAUACCUGGUGAAUUUCUUAAAUGGUGCCAUUGUGGGUCCACUGGUCAUGCUUACUUUGCUCUCAUCGCCUCAAAGAUUUGGGGAACACAGCUUUCCAUUGAUGAUUAUUGACGUUCUUUUCGGGAGAGUUGCAACUCAUCUGUGACUGAUGACUGUCAAAAUGUAUUGCACGUUGAUACUUCUUUUUGAAUGUCAUUCUUCAAUAUUUGUGCUGUGCAAAGUACUCCACAGUCCAAAAUGAGAGUUCCAACAUUUAGAAGCUACAACCAAGUAGCUUUUAGUUUCUGGGUUGAGGAACAACCAGCAGACCCUGAUCAGAGGAGCCUAGAGACCAGCUGGUAAUAGCUGUUUAAUUUGGCUCCGGUGGUAGAGCGUGUCAUCUAGUAAUCAGAGGUUCACUGAUUUGAUUCCCAGACCCCCCAGUCUAAACUAAUUGUCAUUGGACAAGAUAUUGAACCCCAAAUUGCUGCCAAUGUCUCUGCCAAACAACAUAAAUGUAUUUCGAUUUUCAACACUGAGUAUAACCUUAGACUUGAAAGAAUGCAGUCCUCUCAAGUUUGUGGCUUUAACAUUGCAUAUCAUGAAGACCUUUGAGAGACUGGUUCUGCAGCACGUCAGGCCCCUGGUACGUAACUGCCUAGACCCUCUGCAGUUUGCGUGUUGACAUCAGCGUGGAUAAUGCCAUCAUCAACCUUAUUCAACGAGGUUACACUCACCUGAAGAGGAUCAUGUUCUUCGACCUCUCCAGCGCUUUUGACACCGUCUAGCCUUCCCGGCUAGCAGAGAAGUUCUCUGUGAUGCAGGUGGAUCAGGACCUUGUGGCCUGGAUCACAGACUACCUCACUGACAGACCACAAUAUGUCCGACUGUACAGCUGCUUGUCAGAUGUGGUGACAAGCAGCAUGGCACACCCCGAGGAACUGUACUGUCACCAUUUCUGUUCACCCUCUACACCUCUGACUUUUGCUUCAACUGGGGAGUGUGCCAUCUACAGAAGUUCUCAGAUGACUCCUCCAUUGUCAGCUGUAUCACAGACGAUGGGGAGGAGGCUCGGGUCUUUCAAUGUGUGCACUAGGCUACUACGGAUGUUCUACCAGUCUGUAGUGGCCAAUGACCCUUUCUUUGUCUCCUCUUUGUGCUGGGGAGGUGGCAUCAGGACUUGUAGUGCCAAUAAACUCAAAAAGCUGGUGAAGAAGGCCCGCUUGGUGGUGGGGAUGGAUCUGGACAAUUUGGAGGCAGUGACUGAGAAGAGGAUAAGAGGGAAGCUGAACGCCAUCAUGAACAACCCCUCUCAUCCUCUCUACACUGAGCUGAGGCAACUCAGGAGCACAUAGUGUCUCCCACCGCCGCUGAUUUAGACUAUUUAACUUUAACCUGCUAUGUGCAACUCUUUUUGCACAAAUUUAUCUUGUAACAAUAUGUAUUAUAUCUUUAAUAUAUUUUUAUUUUAGUAUUCUUUUAUUGUAUUUUUAUUCUUCUCUAAUUUCUACUAUUUGUACUCAAUUCCUCUGUGUCAAACUUGAAUUUCUCCCACAGGGGAUAAUAAGUAACAUCUCAUCUUUAUUUGAAUGGAGUCUAUUGACGAAGGUGCUGCAUUGGCCAAUCAAAUGUUUGCAAACACUGGGAAACUGUGGCUCAGGAUGUAGCAGGUUGUCCACUAAUCAGAAGGACAAGAUACUCAACCCCAAAUUUCUCCUGAUGCUGUGUCAUCAGCGUGUGAAUGGUUAGUUCCUUUCAGAUGACCAGUUGCACCGACCGUCAGUGUAUGAAUGCAUAUGAAUGGGUGAGUGUGACAUGUAGUGUAAAGCGCUUUGAGUCGUUGGAAAACUAGAAAGGCGCCUUAAGUGCAGUCCUUUUACCAUUACCAUUCAGUUAAUUACUUUUAACUUGAUGUAAUAUGAAGGCAGUAUGUCUACUGCAUAGUAGUUGCUGCCAUAAUAGCUUUUCAGAGACUUUCCAGUUAACUUUCCUGCUGUGAGUAUGAAUAUGCAUUGAUCUGUUACUCUAACUUGACUUCCUAGACUGUAUUUCAUUGCACUUUAAAUGACCAGUGUGAAGGAUUUAGUGGCCUCUAGCAGUGAGGUUUCAGAUUGCAACACUGUUGGCAUCUGUAUUUCACGACCUGGGAAUGAGAGUGGUCUGUGAAGUGUGUAGGAAAAACUACAGUGGUUGCAAAAGGCCUUAUUAUGGGCUGAUUUUUGUGUCAGUAGAAACUGAAUUUGAAUCAUUUAGAACUGAAUCUGAAUUGCUCAACUUGAAUAAUUGCAUUAAAAAACUGAAUUUGAAUUGCAUAAUUUGAAUUUGUAUUGUUCAACUUUAAUAACUGUAUUGAAAAACUAAAUCUGAAUAGCAUAAUUUGAAUUUGAAUUUAUUAGUUUGAAACUGAAUUCCAAUAAACUUGAAACUGAAUAUAAUAUUAUGAAUCUGAAUUCACUUGCAACUGAAACUGUAUUUGAGCCUCACUAAAAUUCAACUUUUUAUGUACUUUCACUUUCAGUUCUCUCAAUUCAAAUUCAGUUCUCUAAAUUCAAUUUCAAUCCACAAGAUUCACUUUUAAGGUCACAGACGGGUCAAGGUCGUUCAGUACACUGUAAAAAAGCCAACUUUUAUUUUUUGGCCUAAAUAAGUAUUUAAAGUAGUUAAGACUAUAAAAUAUAAGUUAUUAACAUUUAACGCAAAAACUUAAGUCAGUCCAGCAAACCAAGUGAUUUGUUGGCAUCAAUACAGUUAAGUGAGUUAGUACCACUUAUAUCUUUGAGUUUCAGAGUUUCGAUUCAGAACAAGGAGUGAAAGUUCAGAUAACUUUUUUGUUUUUUUGUUGGAAAAUGCGGGAAAGCCAACUUUUAGGGUUGAGACUCAUCACUUGCGCUCUGCUGCUCUCCUGUCUGGCUGUCUCCCAUCGGAGCUGGAGUUGACACCACUCAGAUCAGUGAAGAGUUCCAUCGGAUCACCAACAAGAACUUAAUAAACAACUUCAGAGCAGCCAUUAAUCAGCACACAGGUGUUUAACAGACAUCUAACAUCACAGCACCCUUGAAGGUCUUCCCGUGUAUCUCCGUGGCACUCAUGAGAAGCUGUUCAGGAAGUGUCUUGCAACUGAUCCAGAAGCAGACGAAGGGCCUCACUGUGGGCAUCCUGACUGUGUUGGAGGAUGAUGAUAGUUCAGGUCCUGCAAGUGUCAUAAACGUUGCUGUGAUUGUAGAAGAAGCCAUCGUCCUUCAGGAUCUCCCUGACCUGCUGACAGCUUUUGCACACCUUUUUGGGCUGAUCUACGCUUUGAACCUCCAGUACCCAAAAGAACUGAGGUACACUUUUGAAACCAUUCAGAAGGUUUUCAUGGAACUUGGGACAGAUUUCUCUGCAAGGGGGUGUGGUGAGAAGAAGAAGAAGAAGAAGAAGAAGAAGAAGAAGAAGAAGAAGAAGAUAUACUUUAUUGAUCCCCCGCCUUGCUCAAGGGAACCUCGGCAGUGCACAGGAGGUGAAAUUGGCACCUCUCCAGCUACCAGUCCACACUUCAUAUUUUUGUGGUCUGUGGGACUGUCCACCGUUAUCUGUCUCACCUCUGACCAGGAGCUCAGCCUGGGUGGUUAGGGGCUGAGCACUGGUGUUUCACUGAGCUCCUGUACACACAGCUCAUUGACAGAGACACAAUGGAAAGAGUUGACAACGGAGCACUGUGCACGAAACGUUUUCGCAAGUAAAUCACCUGUAUAGCUGCACUUGUCGCUGUCUUUGAUAUGUUGACAGCAGACUAGAUUAUUUUAGGUGCAUAUGUCAUGUCUGUCGUGUCCUAAAGAAUUGCAUCCUCAGUCCCUACUGUAGAAAAAAAACGAGUACCGUCAUGUUUUUAUCGACUUGGUACUUAAAGUAUCAGUUCUUAUGACAUCCCUAGUACUUCAGGUAGAUGAUGAGAUUAAUGGUACUUGCCUGUACAUGUAUGAUCCCUGGUUUAUUUCCAUCACUUCUGCUUACCAGGUAACAAAACAUGUGGCCUUAUCUAAGAUGAUGUUUAGGAGGUAAAGCUGGGUGGCCCAGUUCUUCUUCAUAGUAGUGGUGUCAUUUGCACUGGUCAAUUGAAUGUUUGUUCUUUUGUCUUGAACUGUUGUCUUCUGGGUGCUUUCUGUGGCUAAGCAGUGAGUGACUCAACAGAAAGCUCCACAUUUUCCAUAAAACCUCUUCACAACCCUUUCAGUACAAAACUCCAAUAUUUAGAGGAGGACCUGCAUGUUUGAGCUAGUUGGGGUGCCUGAUCUGGAGACAACAAGAUGUAAUCAGAUUCUAACAGAGAAGGCAUGUGAGUGACUACUUAAAUCUUUACUUCUUUCUGGUGGCCCAAGCCAUGAAUCUUUUUGACCACUCAUGCAUGAAAGUCUCACAGGAUCAAAUUCAAAGCCUAGCUAGGUUUUUGUUGGAUUGUCUAACAGCAUCUAAAAUCCCCUCCCCCUAAACCUUUUCAAUAGUGGAAUCUCCAGGGGCUGCAUCUGACAAUUUUAGCAACUUUAGUAACAGACAAUCCAACAAUCAUGGCCACUUUAAGUAGUGAUUGAUCAGGUGUUUUGAGGUGUAAAAGCAGGCAGCAGAGAAUAAUAAUAAUAAUCAUCAAUAUAUGUAAUAAUUGGUGCAUUUGGUUGUACUUACCGAUAAUUAUUACUAAAUAUCAUCAUAAUUUAAAUGCUAAUUUAAUGAAUCACUUAAUGAUUUGGUUUUAUAAAUUUAUCAGUUAAGUAAUGCAUUAUAAUUAACCACUAUAACUAUUCUAGUGACACACUGGAGUCUCCAUAAUAAACUGAUUCAUACCCAUUUCCUACAAGCAUCCCAGACAAACCCAUCACUUCAGCAGACUGUUAAUUCCCAUGUCUUUUACAAGCCUGCCAGAUAAGUAAAAUGUUUACCUACAUUAGUGCUCUAUUAGGCAAAGUUGUUACACUUUAACUAUGUAAAAUGUAAGCAUUUUUUAAGAGCCUUAUACUCUACCGGGCAUUUCAUCUGAAGAAUAUCUUGUGACUUUUCAUCCAGGCAGACUUGUGUUUGUGGAAGGAAGUUUGAACCUAGUUUGUCAAAUUAUCUAUUUUGCUUCAAAGGAGGUCCAAAGGUUAGUAGGCCCAGCUCAAACAGCAGCAGCACAUAUCUUAUUGGAUAAUUAACACUCAGACUGGACAGCAGAAAAGAGCAGGUACACCUACAGUACAUAGAUACACAAUGCACUGUAUGCAGACACAUCAGGUACCCUUACAUAAAUACAGAUGUAUAUAUCAGACGCUUUACAUUUAUUUAAUAUAUAUUAUACAUGUAAUACUAUACAGGCAAUCGCAUGUUAAAAUAUAGAAGAAGUAGGCACAAGAAAAUGAACAAUAUAUUAAGAGACCCAUCAAGAAGAUAGAUUUUUAUUAAUUGAUCUUUGGAGUGAAACAAUACUGCUUUGGUAAAUAUAUAUGUAUAUGCAUCUAACAAAGGUAAUGAAACAUGAUGACAUUAUAAGGGCGGCUGUGGCUCAGAGGCAGAGUGGGUCAUCCACUAAUCAGAAGGUGGUUGGUUUGAUCCCCGGCUAAUGGUUUUAAUAAGGAGUUCCACUCAAGUGUUUAGCAAGUUUUUCACCAAUAUCAUUAUCAAAUUUCGAUAAUAAAAUCCUUGCCAAAAUUCUUGCAGCCCGAUUACUUGAUGUAAUUGGAAAUCUGACCAAACUGUUUUCAUGAAAAAUUUACAUUCAUCUAAUAACACAAGUAAAUUACUCAAUAUCAAGGAAUCAAUGAAAUAUAUAUGUAUAUAUAUAUGUAUAUGUAUGUGUCUUUAUAUAAAUGUAUGUACAGAUACUUCUCCCUGUCUAUUUUUGCUGGGAACGGCAUGCCUGGUGGAAAAAGUAGGCCAGACCUCUCUGAUAACCCCAACCUCCCUCGCUCCUCCUCCUACCCGCUCCCCAAAAAUGAUAGUACUCACAUCACUUGUUUGUUGAUUAUCAGAAUUGUGUAUGUUAUUUUUCUGUAUUUUGUGAGUUAAUGAAAGGAGAAAAAACAGGCUUCUGAAAAAAACACAAUGAAUGCUAAUCUUUUAAGUUAAUAACUGUAUUUGCCUUGUGAGCAGGUUGCAAACUACAUUGGGCCAGAGGGAGCUAGGCUUCUCUUAAUAACAUAUAAACUCCUCUGAAAACAAGAUUUUUGGUCUCUAAAAUAUUAUAACCUCAGUUUGCUUGUCAAAUCCAUAGUGUGAGUCACAGUCAACAUGAACAUACAGUACAGUAUAGACUAAUAGCCUUUUUCAGUAACGGGGCUGUAUAGGGGGGAAACGUUAGGACAAUUCCAAGGGCCCAUGACUGACAGGGGCCCCAGAAAAUAGGUUAAAACUAAUAUACAAUUAUUAAACCAUCAUCAUUGAGUAUGUAUAUUUCAAAUAUAAUAACACAAUUAAUGAUCUCUUUGUUUUUACUUGUUUUUGGCAGUAAAAGUUAAAUAUCCCCACUGAUCAAAAAGUAAACAUCCAUAUUGACCGACCACCCCCCUGUAUCUGCAUGAAAUGGUUUGGUCCUGCCUUAGCACUUAUCAGUGACGGUGUUUAGUUGCAGUAGAUGCGCCAGAACUACAGUGAUUACAAUGUUAACUAGUAAAUCAAAAUCUGGUUUUCAAAAAAGGAAAGAGAGGAAAGACAAAGGAAAGGAUGUCAAUCUGUAACCCAGUUUUUCACCAAGAAAGGAGCCUAUAGUCUGUGAGUGGUAUUAACCUGUUGGCUUAAUGUCCAUAGGGAAAUAAGCUAGCUAGCUACAGACUAGUGUUAGCCUACAUUAAUCACCAUUUAAUCAGUUCAGGGAAACGUUUAGCAAGAUAUUCAUAUUAAAUCAUUGUCCCUGCCCCUUUUAGCAGACUUAACAACAGAUGAGUCAGCAGCACCCCAGUCUCCCCAUCACUGUACCCCUCCCUGUCCCAGUGAAGGUGAGCAACAUUGUGUUCAAUGACAGGUCAGUUAGCAUCUUUGCAGGGAGUCUGUGGGGAUUUCUCUGUCUCUCUUGCUCUUUUUACCAUUACAAAAAAGAAAAUGAAAUAUUUAUUAAUGACAGAAAUUCAAACACAUUAAUAGCAAUUGUUUUCUCACAUAAUGAUCAUUAUGAAAUAAAAUAAAAAAACAACAACCUACUGUCUGUACUGGAUGCUGGACAGUUGGAAACAGUGAGUAGCUUACCUGAGCCUGCAUGUAAGAUACAGACAGUAGUAAAAUAACCCAGUUUGAUACGCUCAUUUAGAUUGAAUAAUGGAAUGACAUCUAUAGAUACAGACUUUAUUAUGAUAAUAAUUAAUAAUAAUAAUUAAUUUCGUUAAGAGAAUUUUCCAUUUUGAAAUUUUACAAUAAAAAUACAUUGAGACUGUAAAAGAUGGCCUUUAGCACAUUUUUAUGGUUGCUUUUAAUCUUGCAUCAAAUAGUGAACUGCAUACUGUAUGCAGACUUGCAUGUAUGUACAAAUCACCAGCAGUAAAUAUUGUGGUAAAUGGACCUGUACUUGUAUAGCACCUUUCUAGUCUUCCAACCACUCAAAGCGCUUUUACACUAUGUGCCACAUUCACCCUUUGACACACAUUCACUCAGUGAUGGCAAAGUCCAUUGAACAGAAACUAACAUUCACAGGGCCGGCCCAAGGCAUAAGCGAACUAAGCAGCUGCUUAGGGCCCUGUGACCACUAGGGGGCCCCCAAGAGCAAUUAACUUAAAAAAUUAAAAAUUAAUUAAUUAUUUUUUUCCAUGUGUGAGUGAUGAUGAUUCACAUAUUAUCAAAUGUACAUUGUUGUACAUAAAAACCCAACAACAAUAUGAUGUUAACAGAGUGUAGUUUCCUACUGCCUCUCUGCUCGAAGUGUCAGAGCUCCGUUAGUAACGUGUGCAGUGAGCAUCCAGAAACUAGGAGCAGGUGAAAGAUGUGGCAAGAAAGGACUUAACGUUACCUUCAGGGGCAGAAAGACGAAGAAGAAGGAAGAGGAAGAGGAGAAAAAACGAUAAAGGAGCACUGUUAAAAUAUUUAGGAGGAGGCACUGACUCAUCCCAGGGGCAAUCCACCUCCUCAGGAGCAGCCAAGGCUGAUGAAUCAGGUCCAUCUCUAUCCUCUGCUCCAUCCACUGUGCCCACUGUCCCUACUGUGUCUUCUGCAACCUCAGCUGUACCUGGUCCUUCAUCUUUGGUCAUGGAGAUUGAUGUGUCUUCUUCAGCAUCCAGUUUGGAGCAGGGAUCAGCAGCUCCGCCAGUUGACCCAGCUGAGUGUCCCUCUUUCCUGUCAGACUCAGAAAGGACUAAACAGCCACAGCAAGAUGUCCAGAAAAGUUGUCCUGAGUUUGCUCAGGAAAAAGAAAGAGAAGAAGCAGAAAAAGAAGAAGGAGAAGAAGAAGAAGAGGUUGGAGAGUCCCCAGAGCAACACUAAUUUCCACACCAUGAAAACUCUACCUCAUUCAGCUGUCAGGUCUUUCAAAGGGAAAAGAUUGCUGUGACCACUUAUUUUUGACUUUUGACGUUUAAUUUCAAUUACAGAAUUUCCAUCUUUGAUAUGGAUGUUCAGUAUAUGUCUGCAUCUUUAAAUUCCUUGGAUAAAUUUUUUUUACAGACCACACAGAAUGCAGCAACAAGGGAAACAUCAAAAAGAAUUUAAAUUCAUAAAAAAAAAAGUUUCAGAUGUUCCUGCCAAAAUAGACACAAAUAAGGCAGAUUCUAAAGACUAUACCUUUGUACUGAGGUGCAAAUCAAAUGCACUCACAGUAUCACUGUAGUACUCUUCGUCUCUUGAAUGGAGAGACACAGAUACAUAAACUGUUUCAUACACCCUGUCAUUGCUGACUGAUCUCACCAGAUAUUGAUGGCAGAAAAGAGACUGGAACACCCUUGUAUUGUCAUACGGAAAUGUAGAAAAAAUGUCUGGUGUUCCAAUAUAUUAUUGUUGUUCGAAAGCAAACCAGUCACCCCAAACCACUCACCCCUCAACAAAGGCAUACACACGGAUCUUUCUCAGGUUGGCUUAAAGCCAUUAAAAAAAAAGCUUGCUAAGGUUGUAAUCAUUGGCUCAGAUAUAACUUUAGACCAUAGAUUUGAGUCUCCAUACAUUCACAUUUACAAAAAGACCAUCUUCCUGUGUUUUCUCUCUCUGAUAAUAGUCAGCGAAGAAACAGCACCUAAUGCAAAGGUUCAUCAUGGAAUGAACCUGCAGUCUUUUGACAUUCUGGGAAAUAUGUUUGAAUUGUCAAUGCAAAUUAAUCUCUUGUAAAGAUGGCCAAUAUGCUGCCAUAAUCUUAAUCAAACAUUUGUUAAAGAUUUUUAAGUCACAAUACAAUUUAAUCAACUAAGAAUCUUUUACAUUUUAUUUGUUCUCAGUUUUUAAUUAGCAGAAAGCAAUAUAUGAAUAAUUCAGGUAGCAGUUUCUCAAUUUAUCAAUCAUCAUUUUAGGUGUAAAAUGACAAACAUUACCAGGGGUAGGCUAUAUUAGCUGUAGCUAAUUUACAAGUAUUAUGUAAGUAACUUGCCUGAAAUGAGCUGUGCCUUUCCACAGCUCAUGUCUGUACUUAGCCAAAGAUCGUUUGUCAGAGACACCACUCUCUAACACCACUGUAUAAACAGUAGAGAGUCUUUUUGCAAUUUAACGUGACAAGAGGGUGGCACUUCUCUAGUGAUUGCUGUGUAUUAGCUUCAGUCUAUGGAAUCUUCUACUUAAAAUCUCAUUAAUUUAUCCUGAUAUCCAAAAUAAUGCUGAUUCAUUUUCAAAUUAUAGCUGAUCCUGGGUGUGCAAAUUAAUUUUGGAGUUUAGAGUAGAAAUAGAGUUCCUAACUGCAGAUAACAAAAACUGAAUAUUAGACUCAAUAUUUAAGCGAUUGCAUGUAUCUCAAUCUCAGUCGAAAGUAUUACCUUUCCUGUGUACAUUCAAUUACUCCUAAAUAAAAUCAAUCAUUAUGAUGGUUAACCUUGAUCGAUUUGAAAGUGAACGACAAAUAAUUGAUUGAAAUUGAUCGAAAUUAGUUGUGCACAUCCUUACCCUGAACUUUAUGAGACUGUAUUGUAUCUCUUCUACCUCAAACCCUUCAUCAAAGAAGCAUAUUAUUAUUUUUAUUAUUAUUAUGCCCCCAACCUGCUUUUAUUUUUAAAGAUACUUUUGGAAAAGGCAAUCAAAAUUGCAAUCAUUAUUAUCCUCUUUACUUCAUUGUUAAAACAGACAAACAAAAAUUAUAACAAGUCUUGUCCAGCAGUGCCUCAAUUAUGUAUUUCAAGCUUUAAUUUUGAUACAUCUAAGGUCACAACUUGACCCAGGAUGCUUGAUAGACUAGAACACUGGAGCACCACAUAAAUGCUUUGCUCUCUCUGUUGUUGCAAUACUGACACACCUCUUUUAUUUUUAUAGAAAAUGAUAGAACCUCUUUACAUCUUGCCAUUAGUUCACUAUCAAACUGUUGCAUCAGACUACUGUAUACCAUUUGUUCAGAUUAAUAUUAACAAGUGCAUGUAGCUUCAAUUGUUCUUUGCGUAUUAUAGCUUUAAAAUCUUGAUUCCAUCAUUGAUGUAAUGCUGCAAGAAAUCCACUUGGUCUGCCUUACAAAAAAAACCUCAAGAACAAAAACCACAAGAACUAACCACACAUUACCUCGUGACACACUUAAUACCUGGAUUUAGUAGCAGCAUGACAAUGGAUGACUCAUCUCACACUGUAACUUCAGGGAGCCUUACGUUUAAGGAAACCUGAUAUUAUGCAAUCUUCUUCUAAUUUCAAACUACCUCUGACUCAGCACGACCAGCUUGUGAACACUAUUGCUCAGUACACACAAACUAAUGCCCAGGAAGGCAGCGUGCAUUCAGAUAUUUUAUAAUGUACUGUAUUUUAAAGAGAGGUCAUGCUGGUAGUCUUAUCAUGGGUUUUUGUGUCCCAACUGUUUUGUUUGAUUUAGUCAGGUAAAUCCUACAUAAUCCGAAAAGGAGAAAACGCCAGAUAUAUGACAGGGCCAUGUGCAUCAACAUUAAAGGAAAGUAGCCUUUUUCCUACUCACUUGUGGCCAUCUUUCCUGUUGGCUAGACAGGGCUUUUACAAAGUUACAAGGAAUGCACAGACACGAAAUCUUAAUGAAAAUGGUCCAUGCAGAUCAAAUAACGUUACAAUAUUUUGACUAAAAUACCUUAAUUGUUCAGUGCUUGACCGGAGGUCUGACUGUGUAAUCCUCCUUAUUGAACUAAAAAAGAGUCACAGCAGUCACUUUGGGUACAAACCUCUAUGAUACAUUUCGGAUUUAUUCCUACAUAAGGUGAUAAGAGUUCCAUGUAGAGAUAUUGAUCCAAGGACAAAAGUUAUCCAGCUUGUCCAUGCUGUGAUAUUUGUUUAUUUAUUUUGAGAAAAUAACAAAAAAGGUCCGCCUUUUGACACGUUACCUUGUUAGUUUAAUACUUAUUGGCUAAAAAUGUGUGUCAAAAUAAGUAAUUUCAUUGUAACAUUCAUUUCGUGUAGUGACCUAUCAACACAUAGCUAAUUUAAAUAUUCAGAUGAGCCAUGUGUUGAUUCGCCACAACAUGAUACCAGGCUGUCAAUCUAGCUCUCAGCUACAGAGAAUGUAGCAUCAGCAUUAUGGUAAUUGCGGAGAAACAGCGUAUUCACUUCCGGUUUUCAAAAUAAAGGUAUUAAGAACAGUAAGCUAUAAUUCGAACCUACAUUUAAAAUAAAAUAUGUUACAUUAUACAAGUGUUUCAUGCUACCAUGAUGAAUAAAAAACAUACUUAAUAUCAAGCAUUUUUACUGCACCAAUUUGGAGAAAUUCAACAAUAAAAGUCCAACAACGAUGUUAGCUAACAUUGUUCUCUGUAGCUGAGAGCUUGAUUGACAGCCUGGUGGUAGCAACUGCAUGAGCCUGUGUUGUGGCAAAUCAACACAUGGCUCAUUUGAAUAUUUAAAUUAGCCAUGUGUUGAUAAGUCACAACACCAAAAUGUAACCAAUGAAAUUACUUAUUUUGACACACAUUUUUAGCCAAUAAGUAUUAAAGGUAAUGUGUCAAAAGGCGGACCUUUUUUUUUAUUUUCUCAAAAGGAGGACAAAUGAGUGUCGGGCUUGAGGCUGCGCCUGUAUCUCUUGAGUAGGAGAUACCUUUUGUUGUUAAAAAGUUUCCUUUAAUUGAAGACACACUCUAAAUCAUUUAUCAUCCAACAUUUGCAAUUUCCAUAUCCAUGUCCAUAUGUUGUAAUGCUGAAAGUAAUGUCCUUUUUUUAAUUUUAGCUUUGGUUGGUUCAAUACAAAAUAUCUAGAUAUAUUUUAAAAAACAAAAUGCAGUUGUUUUUAUGUAAAUUGUUUAAUUUUAUUAGAAAACAUGUAAAAAAUAUUAUAUAGAGUAUGUUACCCUUUUAAGCAAUAUGCAAAAAAGUUUCAACACAUAUCCAAGUGAAGUUAUUGUUAUGAUGCAGUCUCUAGAGUUUGUCUCCUCCAACACUCCACACACUUGGCACUGACUUCCCUGACAUUUUCUUUCUUUAGAGAUUCUUUGAAAAAGCCUAGGUUCAGUAGUUUUUAUACUUAAAACACAAAAACAGCUAACUUAUUAAAUACUGUUUUUCUACUCUACCUUAAUGUUAAUUUGUAUCUAAAUAUUGUAAUGCAACAUUUUACAUUAUCUGCAAACUUAUUUCUGAAAAACUGAUUUAUUUUGUGAUUUACACAACUGUUUAAUAAGGAUCAAAUGUUUUUAUGACACUACAUGAUGUAACAACAGAUGUUUUUUGUUUUGAAUAGCUAGAGUUGUUUUAUUUACAAUCUAUAUAUGUUCAAUACCUCAAACAGACCGAUAAAAAUGGACUAAUCAAUUCACCUACCUCCAGUCAUUAAAAGGAAUGACUUGGCCAGUGUACUUUGAUGUAUGAUAUGAUCUAUAUCAGGACUGCAGAAGAUCCUUACUUAAAGUAUUGUAUCAGAUGAGUCAAGCUUACAAUCUCAGUACAUUUGGACUCUCACCUUCAAAGUGACCUUCAGGGUUUGAUACAUAUAUUUGGAUUUUGUAUAUUGUAUUCAUGAAUAUGUUUUCUUGUUUUUAAUUAGUGCAUAUCUUGAUUAGCUGUUUUGUGUAGGUCACAACGUGAUUUUCUUUUCUUAUGAUAUGGCUAAACCAGAUCUAUAGGGAAUUGCCUCUUAUCUUCUUAUUUUCACCUCAUAACAUGGCAACCUUUGAAGUUGAAUUUUUAACUGGGCCAGAAGAAGAGCCUCAGAAGAGCUACAUUGAUCUUGUCAGCCUGCCUUUGCCAGCAACGACAGUGGCAACUUAACAGAGGCUGUAGUAAACUCUCAUUAAGUAAUAAUCUGCACAGUGUUUUGGAUCUUAAAGGUGUCUUUCAAACUGAACUAAAAAUGGUUUGUGCAGUCUCUGUUUAUUCAUCACAGCCAGGGUAACAACUUUAUGGAUGUUACCUGUAACUGGUAACUAGCUAGAAACAUACUAAUUUCACAAGUAAUUAUUAAGGAUAAUAUUUUUCCAGGCACAAGUACUGAGGUUUAGUGGCUAUGGACAAAUAUUUGGAACACACUGCAGGAGUACACAAAAAGCAGUGAAUGCAGGUGUUGACACAAAUUAAAUGCGGCUGUCAUCUAUUGCCUCUAAGCAUGAAUUGUUCUGUUUUUGUUGAAACAUUUUCACUUGUCAAGGCAUGUUUUUGACUCAGAUUGCACCACACAGGGCAAAUUUAGGCUUGUCUUAGGCUUGUCUGUGUUGACUCACAAAAUUUGCUACACAUUCAGUUUGAACACAGCUUAGUAAUACCAGCAACUUACUGCUCCCACAACAAUAGGCCUUUUUCAUUUUAACAUGUCAAAGUAGUACAUAGUGGGAAAAUCACAGGUCUAAAUAAUACAAUUAAUCAGGAAUUCCAUUUAGCUGCUUCAGUUUCAGUAAUGCCCAUGCUUUACCUUCUAUAAGUCAAAAAGUAUGCUGUGAAAAAGCCUACUAUAUGUGCUAAUUUAUUUCACAGCAUGUCUGAAAAGAAGAUAUAGAAACAGCAUUAAAGUUAUCAGAAGGUAUCAUUUUGACAAAACAAGGAUAUCUGUUUCUAGUCUUUGUGCUAGGCUUAAACUGGCUAAAUCUCUAUUUACUGGACAAACAGAGAAAAAGCAUAUCUCACUAUACAAACAUCAGAUAAGUGUAUUUAAGUGUAUGAUGUUCUUCUGGUAAUUUUAGUAACUGGUACCCCACUUUCAAAAAGUAUCGCAAUGGUAAUUUUUUUGUCAUUGUUGUGGUCUAAAUAUGGUUUAAAAAACUGAAUUUGAAUAAACAUACACAUACACUUCUCCACCAGCAAUGACAAGUGAGUGACAGAUGUCCGUUGCCUUCAAUAAUUAACAUAUCCAGACACUGUGCAGGUAAUGCCAUUUCUAAUAAUCCAAACAGAGAAACUCACAAGCUGAUAGCUGAUUUGACAGCUACCUAAGAAAUAAUGUAUAAAAUGUGUGCACCUAUUAAGGCUGGAUGAUCAGUAGCUUUGAACGAAUCACUCUGAAACAGAUAGGCUUUAUCAUUUGAAGGUUCAUUAAACACCACACCAUUCUUCAGCCAGACAGACACCAUGUAGACCUGGUGUUUACAUGUGAUCUAUAUCAAUCUGGAUAUGCACUUCUACUCAGAUUGCGAUUGAACCCAGACUGUGUAUCCAGAUACAGAUCAUAUGAUAAUACCAGGUGUACAUAAAGUCUUACUGAUCACUGAACUCAACAAGCUCCAAGCCCAUUUUGAAGUUUCUUAUUUCCUUCAGAGAUGUGGACUUGAGUUUAGUUACCUCACUGAUGGGCAGACUAAUUGUUAAAGCCACUGUUGAUGAGCUUUCAGCUCUGGGAGUCUUAAUGAAGUUGAUAUUUUCUUUUCAUGAUUUCAUGUUCUGUUACAAUAAAAUACACAUUACUACCUCCAGAAAGGCCAACUUUUACCUCAUUGUCAAAUACUGUUUAAAAUUCAGGUGUCUGAGAGCAUAUGGAGAACAUCUUUAAAAAUGUUAUAUAUAGUUUAUUUUUGUGGGGGAUGCAUUUUAUUAGACUUUAUUUUCUCUGCCUCAUAGUCAUCAUUAGCUAAGACUGGACAUGUAACCCUUGAAAAGGAAUUUUCCCACCUUAUGCAAUGUUUUGUAGUUAGCUGUGAGAAAGUGAUAUAUCCCAGCUCUCCAUCUGCCUUGCUCCUGUAUUAUUUCAGAUGUUUUCUACAGUAUCUAAUUUUUGUUGCUUUCUCUCAUAGUAUUACUGUCUUUGAGUUCACUACACAUUUUGCUUGUUUGCUAAACAAACUCUUAUGUUCACUUUUUUUCAGCACAUUAAAACAGUAUGCCAUCCAUAA